rnacentral:rRNA from 1 species
UACGUGGGUGGCGAGCGUUGUCCGGAUUUACUGGGCGUAAAGAGCGCGCAGGCGGUCGUCCAAGUCGCGUGUGAAAGCCCCCGGCUCAACUGGGGAGGGUCACGCGAUACUGAUCGACUCGAAGGCAGGAGAGGGAAGCGGAAUUCCCGGUGUAGUGGUGAAAUGCGUAGAGAUGUGGAGGAACACCAGUGGCGAAGGCGGCUUUCUGGUCUGUAACUGACGCUGAGGCGCGAAAGCGUGGGGAGCAAACAGG